rnacentral:rRNA from 1 species
UACGGGGGGAGCAAGCGUUGUUCGGAUUUACUGGGCGUAAAGGGCGCGUAGGCGGCCACCGCGAGUCGACUGUGAAAUCUCCGGGCUUAACCCGGAAAGGUCAGCCGAUACUGCGGGGCUAGAGUGCAGAAGGGGCAACUGGAAUUCUCGGUGUAGCGGUGAAAUGCGUAGAUAUCGAGAGGAACACCUGCGGCGAAGGCGGGUUGCUGGGCUGACACUGACGCUGAUGUGCGAAAGCUAGGGGAGCGAACGGG